rnacentral:rRNA from 1 species
GGGGAAUAUUGCACAAUGAGCGAAAGCUUGAUGCAGCGACGCCGCGUGAGGGAUGACGGCUUUCGGGUUGUAAACCUCUUUUGGCAGGGAACAAGUCCAGGUUUUGGCCUGGUUGAGGGUACCUGCAUAAGAAGCGCCGGCUAACUACGUGCCAGCAGCCGCGGUAAUACGUAGGGCGCGAGCGUUGUCCGGAAUUAUUGGGCGUAAAGAGCUCGUAGGCGGCUUGUCGCGUCUGCUGUGAAAACGCGGGGCUUAACUCCGCGCUUGCAGUGGGUACGGGCAGGCUUGAGUGUAGUAGGGGAGACUGGAAUUCCUGGUGUAGCGGUGGAAUGCGCAGAUAUCAGGAGGAACACCGAUGGCGAAGGCAGGUCUCUGGGCUAUAACUGACGCUGAGGAGCGAAAGCAUGGGGAGCGAAC